GAUGAACGCUGGCGGCGUGCCUAAUACAUGCCAGUCGAGCGAACGGACGAGAAGCUUGCUUCUCUGAUGUUAGCGGCGGACGGGUGAGUAACACGUGGAUAACCUACCUAUAAGACUGGGAUAACUUCGGGAAACCGGAGCUAAUACCGGAUGAUAUUUUGAACCGCAUGGUUCAAUAGUGAAAGACGGUCUUUCUGUCACUUAUAGAUGGAUCCGCGCUGCAUUAGCUAGUUGGUAAGGUAACGGCUUACCAAGGCAACGAUGCAUAGCCGACCUGAGAGGGGGAUAGGCCACACUGGAACUGAGACACGGUCCAGACUCCUACGGGAGGCAGCAGUAGGGAAUCUUACGCAAUGGGCGAAAGCAUGACGGAGCAACGCCGCGUGAGUGAUGAAGGUCUUCGGAUCGUAAAACUCUGUUAUUAGGGAAGAACAUAUGUGGAAGUAACUGUGCACAGCUUGACGGUACCUAAUCAGAAAGCCACGGCUAACUACGUG
rnacentral:rRNA from 1 species